GACGAACGCUGGCGGCGUGCUUAACACAUGCAAGUCGAACGAGUGGCGAACGGGGGAGUAAGACGUGGGUAACAUGCCCUCCUUUUUGGGAUAAGCCUUGGAAACGGGGACUAAUACCGAAGAAAGGGGGAUGGGAUCGCGGCCUAUCAGCUUGUUGGGGGGGUGAUGGCUACGAAGGCGUGACGGGUAGCCGGCCUGAGAGGGUGACCGGCCACAGUGGUACUGUGAUACGGUCCAGACUCCUACGGGAGGCAGCCGUGGGUAAUGUUGCACAAUGGUCGGAAGCCUGAUGCAGCGACGCCGCGUGGGGGAUGAAGGCCUUCGGGUUGUAAACUCCUUUCGACAGGGACGCGGUACCUGUAUAAGAAGCACCGGCUAACUACGUGCCAGCAGCCGCGGUAAUUC
rnacentral:rRNA from 1 species